rnacentral:rRNA from 1 species
AAAACAUAGUCUGCAGUAAAAUAUUGUAGAUCACUUCUGCUCAAUGAGGAAAUAAUUAAAUAGCCGCAGUACUUUGACUGUGCUAAGGUAGCAAAAUAAUUUGACUUUUAAAUGGGGCCUCGCAUGAAUGAAUAAAUGGUUAAAACUUGUCUCUGAGAUUAUACUCAAAAUUUACUUAGUUGGUGAAAACUCCAACAUUUUUAAUAUUAGACGAGAAGACCCUAAGAAUUUGGAAUAAAAGGUUUAAUUUUAAAUUUUACUUAUUUGUUGGGGCGACAGUAUAAACAAAUUUAACUUAUAAACACAAAAAACAAGACUAUUAAAAUAUAAAUAUGAAUAUAAUUACCUUAGGGAUAACAGCACAAUAUUUUUUUUUGUUUGAUGACCUCGAUGUUGGAUUAGGGCCAAAAAUGGUUAAAAAUUAUUUUUGAUUGCUUCUGUUCGAAGUAUAGUUACCUACGUGAUCU